UGAAGACGUGAAGAUAGAAAGGCAGAUUGAAUGUGAAUAAUGGUGGGAGUCUCCAGGUUGCAGAUGAAGCAUCGGUGUGUUUCAAUUUCAUCUCAAGUUCAUCAUGGUUGAAACACACAAGACACAUCUCACCAAUUUUGAAUGCCAGAGCAACACAAAGUUUCAACAACAACACUGAUUUAGACUGUUAUUUGUUUGAUUUCUUCAAUUUCAUCUCAUCAAUCCGACCACCUGCUUAGGUUUUCCUCAACUCUUCUGCUGUACAGAGUCAUCACCGGCAGGUUUUGGCUGUUGAUUUUGCUCUCUAAGCAAGGGUUUGUUGUUGAGUAAUCCAAUAUGGAUUCAGAUUUCAGAAACAUGUAAGGGUGGGGCUACGGAUGUUUUACCACAACCACCACCUGUUCCAGAAGACCUCGUUCCAAUCAAAGCUGAGCCAGAAGCCAAGAAGAAGGUCAUGCGUGUACCCAUGGCUAGGACGGACUCCAACGACCUGAAACAUCAAAUCAUAUAUUGGUUUCUUGUGAUGUAGCGAGAACCAUUUGGUUUGUCGUAGCAUCUUUGAUAGCCAUCUUCCCAGCCAACGGUCACUAGCGAUGGAUAGGAGAACCAGUGGGUUAAAUCUGACUGGAAGCAAGAUGAGAACAUUGCUGGGAAGUGGAAUUAUUAAUUAUACAUCUGGCAAAUGGAAUACGAAUGCGAAAAUAUAUUACAAAAAUGAUUUUUUAAGGUGUUUGUUUAUAUAUGGUCAGUGUUGAUUAUUUUUUUAAUCUAUUUGUUUAUUUUUGCAGUCAUUUUUAGUGAUGCUAAGGCACAAGAAGCGUGUUGGGUAAACAGGAAAUGACACUGAAACUCAAAGCUCUGGAAAUAUUGGUCAAGAUCAACUGCCCAAAUGCUACUCAGAGUUCUUAUUAAUGAUUGCAGCCCAUCUAUAUCAAUAGAUAACAUCAGGCUUAAUAAAUGAGUGAUCUUUAGCAUCUUGUUGAAGUUGUUUGGUGGGAAAACCAAAAAGGACCAAACUCAGGCUUCUCUUUCUAUGUAUAGUUAAAGGUCGUGGUUACGUGGUUACGGCUGGUGGGCCGGGUAACAUGUAGAAAUGGCCACUUUGGUUAAUUUGAUUAAAAAAAUAGUAGUAUGGAUAAUGGUGCCCCCUUCACCCUUAGUCUUUGGGCUCAUAAUUGUGUGACCUUAGCUUUUCUUUUAAGUAUUUUUUGAUUUCACAUGUUUGAUAUAAAAGAGAAAAGAGAACAGUUGGGUGAUGAUCCAUUAACAAGCAAAUGGGUUGAAGUUGUGACCCAUUAACAAGCAAAUGGUCCAGGUUCAACUCGUGUCCAUGUUGGUUGAUUUAUCCAUUAACAAGCAAAGGGGAGGCGUCAAACGCAGCCCACGACGAAGGUGAAGAAGAAGAGAAAAUUGAGGGAGUAGUGGUGGCGGCUCCUCGUAGAAUGACAAGACGCGAUAUCUAAUGACAGAUGCACUGUUGAAGAAUCUAUAGUUAGUAGCUUUCUUUGAGUGGUUUAAUUGUUCGGUUCGGUUAAGGUUGGUUUAAUUCGGUUAUAUACUCACUCCUAGAACAUACAUAUACUUGUAAUACUAAAGCAGUCAGCUAGACUUUCUCUGCGUAUGUUU
rnacentral:lncRNA from 1 species